AGUACCUCCGUCACCAUGGGCACUUAUUUCCUACACUCUCCCCAAAGUGGAGCCCACGGUCACUUUAAACGUCCUGAGCCGACCAUGUCCUUUUAGUGAAUUUCCAUGAGCUGGUUGCUCACUUGUGAGGCUUUGUGACAGCGGGGUCCUUGCCAACAUAGCAAUCGGGGGUGAGGGCAGAGCAUUGUACUUCCACUCUGCCUCUCAGCCGCAGGUUGCCCUAGUGCCCACCUCGGGGGUGUUGAGCUCCUCUCUCCAUCUGCUGCCUGUUAAGCAGCUGCCGAGCUUAGUAACAAGGAGGCUGGUGUGGCCGGUGGAUGGAGCGCGCCGUUCAUGGAACUUGGCAAGAGGCUGCUCGCUGGGACCCAAGGGCAAUGAAAAGAAGAGGAGAGUUGAGACCACGUGAUUCCCAAAGCGUAAAAUAUUUACUGUCUAGACCUUGAAGAGGAAGUCUGCCCACUCCUGGUCCAGAGAAAGAUGGACAUGCAAACAAGAGGAGACUCAAGGGCUGUUUCUUUUGCCUUCUUUUCUCAAACAAAGAAGCUUCACAGGAAUAUUAAGACCGAAAGAGAACUGUGUUCUUAAAAAAAAAAAAGAAAGAAAGAAAGAAAGAAAGAAAGAAAGAAAGAAAGAAAGAAAGAAAAGAGUUGGAUGCGAAAGAGAAUUGUGUUCGUUGCAGGACUUUGCAAGGAUCCAUGGAGAGAUUUAUGCAAACAGAUUUUUCAGUUCUUCCUUUGGUGACCUUGGUCCUUAGAGUGAACAUGAUGACCUUAAUGGCUUUUUGCCCCUUCGUCAGCGCAGACGGCGCUCAGCAAGCCUUCAACAAAUGGAGGAAAAUUAAAGAGAGAAAUGGCCCAUGGUGUAUUCUUACCUGACAUAAAUUGGCGUCUUUGGCUACCAUCCAAGGGAGAGAAACCAGCCUAUAGAAACAGAGAAAGAAGAUCAGAAGCUGAUGUAAGGAAGGGAGGUUUGUCAUGUUGCUGUCCUCAGAACGGGAGAAGGAAAACUGAGCAGGAAUUAACAGUAGCAAAUAGUCAGCAGGGGUCUGUUAGAAGAAAUAAAUCUACUGGAGUUUUCCAACAAAGGGAGACAGAAGUCAGUAUAGCACAUCAAAAAAAAAAAAAAAAGAAAAAAGAAAAGAAAAGAAAAGAAAAAGAAAGAGAAAAGAGAGAAAGGAAGGAAGGGGGAGGUAGGAAGGAGAAAGAAAAAAAAAAAAAGAAUCAUAUCCAGAACUGUUCCAGUUGUCCUGCUCAAUGCACACGCACACACACACACACACACACACACACACACCCUGUAGCCUACAAUCUUCCCUCAUGCCCCUAUCCUGUUGAUCUUUCUUCACUUAAAAAUUAUCGGCAAAGAAUUGAUUCAUUUGGGAGAAUUCCAGGCACUACAUUCAUGUUCAGUUCAAAUGAAAUAGGAUCCAGACUUUUCAAACUGUGCUGUUCUGCAGAUAAAACACCAAGGCAGGACCUCAUUAUCUGGAGACAUGGUCCUUUCUUUUUCCUCUUGCCUUUUGUUUCUGAGCAAUUUUAGGCUUGUUUGGAAAGUCUCGUAACGGGGGCAGAACAUUUUUCACAUCUAUUUCGGGAGGGUUUUUAGUUAAGAGUAAUGAAUUUACCUCUAAACAGAUGGGAGAAUUUUACUAAAGCUAGAAACGACACUUUUACUAAUAUCCCCGAUAGGCUGAUCCUAAUCCUCUGAUUGUUAAAAAUGCUUGGUCUACGAGAGUCUUAUUUAUGUGCCAAAUGUCUUUAUUAAAUCAUGAAAUUAACACAGAAAAAAAUCCUAUUACAAUGAGUUUCUGUGUAUGAUCAAAAGUUGUCCAUGGCCCUACUGAUAGCCUACUUAUUCCAAAAUUUAAAAAGGUGAAAUCCCAGUAGAGCCCAGCGCUUGGCCAAGUUUUUAAAAAAUUCAUUGUAAAAUGGCCAGAGGGGUUACGAGGUCCCCAGCCAGGAAAGGGCCUACGUUUUAUCAAGGUAGUAGUCCUAACAAAAAGACAACUGUGAAAAAUAGGCCUCCCCUUCACCCGUACAGAUGAAUUCUUGGCAACAUUGUAAUAUGAUUUGACCUGUAGAAGCAUAACGAGUCUCUGAUAUCGACUUUGAUUUUAAAAACCUAAGGGGCAAAUUCAAAGACAAAUUGUGCUUGUUAAUCCAGGGUUGUGGGAUGUGAAAAGAGUUUAAAAAAGUCAAGAGACAUGGUCUGGUCUGUUUGUAUAUUGGAUCUUAAAAUUAAACUAAAAAAAUAUAUAUAUUUUCGAAUGUAAAAUUACUACAGGUAUAUCACAGAAGAACAAAUUCCUUCAUAGCCCUCCCCCUGGGAAAGUGCAUUUGUUUGGGAUUUCCAAACUUGAUUCUGGCCUUUAUGUGGACGGGAGCAUUAAAGGUUCUGUGUUAGAGCUUAGUCUAGACGCGUGGGACCUGAUGGACAUUAGCAGGACCUAAAAAGAGAAGAAGAGAUCCAAGUUGGAGGGUCUAAAGUCUAUGGCCUGUCAGAAGCACUUGGAGGGGUAGGUGAACAGAGUAAGGGAAGACACCAGGAGGUCCAGAUGAAGCAGGGGGCAUGGUGGGACCAUGCCUGAUAGAACACUUUGGGUCAAACCAAGAGGUGGCAAAUGAGAUGGGACAGAUGUGACAGAGAGAGAGAAAGGGAACAUGUAAAGGGCUUGGCCCUGGAGAUGCAUUUAAAGUCCUUUUAUCUUUCAAAGAUUGUUAACCCCAAUGACUUUUCUUGUUUAUUCUAGAUGCUUUGCUCUCUCAUAUUAUUACUAGGGACCUGCCAUGUUAAAAAGAAACAUUUGGGAAGCAAGGGUGAUUUUUCUCUUUUCUUUUUUAAUUGCAAUUGUGAUGUGCUCCUGGCCUGACUUGGCAUGAGGUCUGGCUUAGAUUAGCCCCUGGCUGAGAGAUCCCUGCUAAUUUAGUGGCUGCAAUUAGGCCUGCCUCUAGCCAUGGUCUGCUUUUCCUGCAUGCCCUUGGUUGUUUUUCU